AGAUGUAAGAGCAAUCUGGUUGCCACACCAAUCACCCUGUUGAUCACCAGGAUUGAUUUGGCUGAUCAGACUGGCAAGGAAUGUGUCUGCCAUCCCCAUCACUGUGCGUCCCCCACAAAGCCACACACUCCAUGGAAGAGAAUUACCAUCCCACACAGAGCGAGAACAUCCUCUUCUGCACUUUUCCCAGCUAUGCCAUAUUCGUUUUAGAGAUAUGGCACCCAAAACUGUACACAGUGUUCCAAAUGGGACCACACUAUAGAAC